rnacentral:rRNA from 1 species
GACGAACGCUGGCGGCGUGCUUAACACAUGCAAGUCGAACGGAAAGGCCUCUUUCGGGGGGUACUCGAGUGGCGAACGGGUGAGUAACACGUGAGUAACCUGCCCUUGACUUUGGGAUAACUUCAGGAAACUGGGGCUAAUACCGGAUAGGAGCUCCUUCUGCAUGGUGGGGGUUGGAAAGUUUCGGCGGUUGGGGGUGGACUCGCGGCGUAUCAGCUUGUUGGUGGGGUAGUGGCUGACCAAGGCUUUGACGGGUAGCCGGCCUGAGAGGGUGACCGGCCACAUUGGGACGUAGAUACGGCCCAGACUCCGACGGGAGGCAGCAGUGGGGAAUAUUGCACAAUGGGUGGAAGCCUGAUGCAGCAACGCCGUGUGCGGGAUGACGGUCUUCGGGUUGUAAAACGCUUUCGCUCAUGACGAAGCUUUGUGUGACGGUAGUGGGUAAAGAAGCACCGGCUAACUACGUG